AUUGAACGCUGGCGGCAGGCCUAACACAUGCAAGUCGAGCGGAUGAAGGGAGCUUGCUCCUGGAUUCAGCGGCGGACGGGUGAGUAAUGCCUAGGAAUCUGCCUGGUAGUGGGGGAUAACGUCCGGAAACGGGCGCUAAUACCGCAUACGUCCUGAGGGAGAAAGUGGGGGAUCUUCGGACCUCACGCUAUCAGAUGAGCCUAGGUCGGAUUAGCUAGUUGGUGGGGUAAAGGCCUACCAAGGCGACGAUCCGCAACUGGUCUGAGAGGAUGAUCAGUCACACUGGAACUGAGACACGGUCCAGACUCCUACGGGAGGCAGCAGUGGGGAAUAUUGGACAAUGGGCGGAAGCCUGAUCCAGCCAUGCCGCGUGUGUGAAGAAGGUCUUCGGAUUGUAAAGCACUUUAAGUUGGGAGGAAGGGCAGUAAGUUAAUACCUUGCUGUUUUGACGUUACCAACAGAAUAAGCACCGGCUAACUUCGUG
rnacentral:rRNA from 1 species